AAAAGUGAGCGAGUGGAACCACCUUGCUCGCACCAAAAUUGAGAUUGAGAGUGUCAAAACUGCUCUGGCGCACCAUCAAUAAAUCAACGACACUCUCUCUACCGUGGUAUUGAAACCAGCAUUGGUAACCAAACAUAUUCAUACAGAUACAGACUACCAUUCAUCUACAUUUAGGAAGUCUGAAUAAUACUGAAAACUAUGGUGUAGAAUUUCCAACAGGACUCCUUAUUUUAUAUAAGACAAGGAGUGGUUUAUUUUCCCAUGGUUGUUACAUCAUCUUGUCUUUGAAUAUGCUCGAAGUACAGGGACUUUUAUGGAAUUCAUUGACAUGAUAGUCAAGCAAGAUGUCAACAUCUCGUCCAACCCUCUUCCAGCAAAGCAGACCAAGGAUCUUCACCCUUUCAAAACAGGCUGUAUACAGGACGAGUUAUUCCAGUAGGAACAGGGCUAUAUAUAUGCAAGCAAUGCUCAAUUAAGAUGAUUUUUUGUAAAAGUGACAAUAGCCAGGUCAAACUAAAUACAUGUAUAGAAGAAGAUAUUGAUCUAGACUCGCAGCUAACCUUUCUGUCAGUGUCAACAACAACUGAACUUUCACAGCAGUCAACAUCAGAUUGGGAGACUGAUAAUGCUUCUAACAGAAACAAUUUCAACCAACCAAACAAGCAACAGAAACUUUCCAACUUUAAAACAUCAGUAAAAUCUUCCAUGGGAUGAUGUCUCAAAAAAUAACAGUUCAUCAUUUAUGGAGAUUUUAAUGUUAUGGUUUUUCUUUUACAAGAAAGUUAAUGUACACUUGUUUUAUAGUAAAACCUAUAGCCGUUCAAGUAUAAAAAAACACAUUCAACUUUAUUGAAAUUUGAAGAUUCAUAUGACUUAUUUUAAUUCUGUUAUCUCCGAGGAUGUGAUGUAGAGCAUUAUAGGUACAGUAAUCUUAACAGCUAUCCAAUUUCAUUCAAAAUUCCUUAUAAAUUUUGCACUGGUAUAUAUAGACUAAGUAAUUUGUUUUUCGUCUAGUUAUGGGAUUUUUAUUUAGAAGCAUUUAUGAUUUUCAUGUUUGUAUUGACCACAUUGCAGCAACAUAGAUAUAGGUACCUGGCAAAUCUUGCCUUGUUAGCAUACUAGGCUCAAAGGGUCAUAAAAAAAAUUUCCAUCACUAAGUGUCUGUUAAAAUCAUCUGUUUACAGUUUUCACUUUUAAACCAUCAUCUUAAUAACUUUAGAAGAAGUGUCAUACAUAUAUAUGUAUACAAAAUUUAAAAACUUUUCAAUAUAUAUAUAUAUAUAUAUUGAUAAAAACUAUCAACAUGACAAGAUCUAAAUACCCAAAAUUUUUCUGAAAAAUUGGACAUAACAUCUAUGAACUAUUGUCCCUGAAAUGUGUAAAUUUACAAAUUUUCACAGUUUUCUGCUACUAUCCGACAACUACCGGAAUAUCAAUAUAUUAUAGAAUAAAUUGCAAAAGUGGUCAGAAGAAACUUUUUUUUUACAGUCUGAACUUAUUCUGAAUUGUUUAACUUCUAAUUUAAAUUGGUUGCGUUUGAAAUAUGUGUUUUUUAUCGUUUUAGGUGCACAAUUUGUCAAUACGAUCUAUUUCGGCUCCUGGGAGCCUCUAGAUUUAUAAUGAAUAAUUUGUAUUUAUGUAUGAUUAUUUUCUUAAUGUAUUAAAUGAAACAUUAAUUAUUCUU